GACGAACGCUGGCGGCGUGCUUAACACAUGCAAGUCGAACGGAAAGGCCCUGCUUUUGUGGGGUGCUCGAGUGGCGAACGGGUGAGUAACACGUGAGUAACCUGCCCUUGACUUUGGGAUAACUUCAGGAAACUGGGGCUAAUACCGGAUAGGAGCUCCUGCUGCAUGGUGGGGGUUGGAAAGUUUCGGCGGUUGGGGAUGGACUCGCGGCUUAUCAGCUUGUUGGUGGGGUAGUGGCUUACCAAGGCUUUGACGGGUAGCCGGCCUGAGAGGGUGACCGGCCACAUUGGGACUGAGAUACGGCCCAGACGCAUACGGGGGGCAGCAGUGGGGAAUAUUGCACAAUGGGCGGAGGCCUGAUGCAGCAACGCCGCGUGCGGGAUGACGGCCUUCGGGUUGUAAACCGCUUUCGCCUGUGACGAAGCGGGAGUGACGGUAAUGGGUAAAGAAGCACCGGCUAACUACGUG
rnacentral:rRNA from 1 species